AACGAACGCUGGCGGCAUGCCUAACACAUGCAAGUCGAACGAGACCUUCGGGUCUAGUGGCGCACGGGUGCGUAACGCGUGGGAACCUGCCCUUAGGUUCGGAAUAACUCCCCGAAAGGGGUGCUAAUACCGGAUAAUGUCUUCGGAGCAAAGAUUUAUCGCCUUUGGAUGGGCCCGCGUUGGAUUAGCUAGUUGGUAGGGUAAAAGCCUACCAAGGCGACGAUCCAUAGCUGGUCUGAGAGGAUGAUCAGCCACACUGGGACUGAGACACGGCCCAGACUCCUACGGGAAGCAGCAGUGGGGAAUAUUGGACAAUGGGCGAAAGCCUGAUCCAGCAAUGCCGCGUGAGUGAUGAAGGCCUUAGGGUUGUAAAGCUCUUUUACCCGGGAUGAUAAUGACAGUACCGGGAGAAUAAGCUCCGGCUAACUCCGUG
rnacentral:rRNA from 1 species